AUGUGAUGGGGGUGAAAUAACAGCAGUGUGAUUUUCGACCACCAACUUGCCUUGAAAGGGAAUUUGGGGAUGUGCACCGCUGGAAGCCAUGUGUUCUGAUAUGAGAAGAACUUCUUCAGAAGAUGUCUUAAUGCAUGUGGGGAAACUGAGGUCCAGAUUACACAUACAUGAGUUGUCCUGGAAAAUCUCAAGUCAAAAAAGCUGCACUGCAGGAAAUCAAUAUGGUGCAGGCCCCAGGCAAGGCAUCACUGACUAUACUUGCAAGAAACAAAUGCCUGCAAAAAUCAGGACAAGAUGAUUUUGAAGCUGUGCAAAACAGUUGUCAUAGCCUUCUCCAGCAUGUGUUCCUUCUAUAUUUCAGACAUGGCAUAGGAGACACAGCAAUAACUAAGGGGCAACUAUUGCAUCCAGAAAAAAAAAAAAAAUGAAGAUGAUGAGUUCUCUGCAACUAAGAUGAAGACCCACUGAGCUUUGGGGUUUAAAAUGCAACAUCAGAACUUCAAACUUCCGGCACCUAGGUCUCCAGCUGCUGGGUGGUGCCAGCAUCAGACAUACACUCUGCAAAACAGAUACUGUCUUAGGAAAAUGUGACCCUGUUGUCCUUUCAGGCCCAUAUUUCACAAGAAGACAAGUGGAGAGUUAAAAGGAAAACUGCAGAUCUGAGUGAAGAGCCAGCAAGUUGUCUUUUCUGAUAUAACCAGAAAAUAAGAUGUUCUGGUUGACAUGUGCUAAAGAUGUCGUGUGGACUUUCAGACUCAGAAUGUGAUCACAUGUAUUUCUCACUGAAACUAUAUUGAAUGUUA